GUAAACAGCAAUAACUGCCAAGUUGAUGGACUGUAAAAUGGACCAGAUGAAUCAAGUGGUGAUUGUGCGCCGCUGUACUGAGAGAGUAUUUGGGGAAGAACAAUGGCUUACACUAAGAACAAAGUUAGCAACUUGGAGGGGUAAUAUUGCAAAUGUUAUCAGCACCAUUCGAGCUAACAGGAUAGCUGACGAUGGAUCACAGGCAGUGCAAGGCUUAGUUAUUCGUUAGAAACUUACGGAUCUUAGUGUAGGUGCUUGACUGACUUACGAGAGUUUCAAUGAACGAGUGUUAUUGAUUCCCCCUUAUUUUGGAAUUGAAUCAAAUGUUUUGAAAAUUUUGGCAGGAAAAUAGUUUCGUGUUGGUUACAAAUGGUAUAACAUUGUACUCUUGCGAAAUGAUGAUCGACUGCUUAUAUCAGUAGUAACCUCGGUUGCGUUUAACAGGAAAAUUCUCUUGUCCAGAAGUUGUAAUGGAGCAUAUUCCAGCCAAAUUGGGGAUCGUA